AUUGAACGCUGGCGGCAUGCCUUACACAUGCAAGUCGAACGGUAACAGGUUAAGCUGACGAGUGGCGAACGGGUGAGUAAUGUAUCGGAACGUGCCCAGUCGUGGGGGAUAACUGCUCGGAAGAGCAGCUAAUACCGCAUACGACCUGAGGGGGAAAGCGGGGGAUCGCAAGGCCUCGCGCGAUUGGAGCGGCCGAUAUCAGAUUAGGUAGUUGGUGAGGUAAAGGCUCACCAAGCCGACGAUCUGUAGCUGGUCUGAGAGGACGACCAGCCACACUGGGACUGAGACACGGCCCAGACUCCUACGGGAGGCAGCAGUGGGGAAUUUUGGACAAUGGGCGCAAGCCUGAUCCAGCCAUGCCGCGUGCGGGAAGAAGGCCUUCGGGUUGUAAACCGCUUUUGUCAGGGAAGAAAAGGUUCUGGCUAAUACCUGGGACUCAUGACGGUACCUGAAGAAUAAGCACCGGCUAACUACGUG
rnacentral:rRNA from 1 species